GUUUUCUAAUUAAUAAAUUUUCUUAAAGAUUCGGACAAUGAUUCCUGCUUUCUACCACCUUCCAAGAACUUGUCUUUUGACGUAGAGGACUUUCGACAACGCACGAUAGCUGCACAUAAUACGUAUCGGCGAAUUCACGACAGUCCUGAUCUGACUCAUUUACAAGAGCUAGAAGAUGGAGCACAAAUUUGGGCAGAAACGAUUGCCGCCAAAGGCUAUUUUCAGUACUGCGAACAUUUAUAUAAUAUCGGCGAAAGCUUGUGCACUGUUAAUUUAAUUGGUGCAAGACCAACUCCAGAAGAUAUAGUGAGGAAUUGGUAUAAAGAAAUAAAACAUUAUAGCUUUGCUGAACCAAGAUGGAGACGAGGGGCGUUUCAUUUCACACAAAUGAUUUGGAGAAGUUCUUUACACAUAGGAAUUGGUAUAGCUCCAGUGCCGGGGAAGCCAAUGCUACACGUCGUUGUACGAUAUUUUCCCGGUGGAAAUUCUAAUUUUCCCGGUGAAUUCCAGAAAAAUGUUCUUCCUAGAAUUUCUGCACCAUCUACAGGAUCCUUAUCCCAAUCGAUGGAAGACUGCUCAUUUGUUCGAACCUACUCGACGAAGUUGCGGCAAAGUGGUGUAUAUAUAUAAUGUAUCAUUACAUUCUUUCUUGAAAUAUUAAAACAUAUCAGUAACUAAAA